rnacentral:rRNA from 1 species
AUUGAACGCUGGCGGCAUGCCUUACACAUGCAAGUCGAACGGCAGCACGGGUGCUUGCACCUGGUGGCGAGUGGCGAACGGGUGAGUAAUACAUCGGAACGUACCUUAUCGUGGGGGAUAACGCAGCGAAAGUUGCGCUAAUACCGCAUACGCCCUGAGGGGGAAAGCGGGGGACUGUAAGGCCUCGCGCGAUCAGAGCGGCCGAUGUCUGAUUAGCUUGUUGGUGAGGUAAAAGCUCACCAAGGCGAUGAUCAGUAGCUGGUCUGAGAGGACGAUCAGCCACACUGGGACUGAGACACGGCCCAGACUCCUACGGGAGGCAGCAGUGGGGAAUUUUGGACAAUGGGGGCAACCCUGAUCCAGCAAUGCCGCGUGAGUGAAGAAGGCCUUCGGGUUGUAAAGCUCUUUUGUCAGGGAAGAAACAGCAGCUCUAACACAGUCUGCGAAUGACGGUACCUGAAGAAUAAGCACCGGCUAACUACGUGCCAGCCGCCGCUGUAA